rnacentral:tRNA from 1 species
GGGUCGGUAGCUCAUUGGUUGAGCGGCUGCCUGUUAAGCAGCGAGGAGUGGGUUCGAUUCCCAUCCGGCCCU